rnacentral:lncRNA from 1 species
GUACAACUUAUUCUCAUAAAGGAUGUAUCGGGAGGCUUGAUUUCUGAGCUUCCGAGCUUAUUUUGCAUCAUGAGGGAGAACUCCGUCCCUGAGAUAUGCCAUCAGGGGGUCGACCCAACUGGGCUCGUGAUCAAUUUCCAUCACGGGCCGUGAUUCUUUCGUACUUGGGCACUUCAGAACUUCAAAGAGAACACCCUUGGGC